rnacentral:rRNA from 1 species
AUUGAACGCUGGCGGCAGGCCUAACACAUGCCAGUCGAACGGUAACAGGAAGCAGCUUGCUGCUUCGCUGACGAGUGGCGGACGGGUGAGUAAUGUCUGGGAAGCUGCCUGAUGGAGGGGGAUAACUACUGGAAACGGUAGCUAAUACCGCAUAAUGUCGCAAGACCAAAGAGGGGGACCUUCGGGCCUCUUGCCAUCGGAUGUGCCCAGAUGGGAUUAGCUUGUUGGUGGGGUAACGGCUCACCAAGGCGACGAUCCCUAGCUGGUCUGAGAGGAUGACCAGCCACACUGGAACUGAGACACGGUCCAGACUCCUACGGGAGGCAGCAGUGGGGAAUAUUGCACAAUGGGCGCAAGCCUGAUGCAGCCAUGCCGCGUGUAUGAAGAAGGCCUUCGGGUUGUAAAGUACUUUCAGCGGGGAGGAAGGGAGUAAAGUUAAUACCUUUGCUCAUUGACGUUACCCGCAGAAGAAGCACCGGCUAACUCCGUGC